rnacentral:rRNA from 1 species
UCAGGAUGAACGCUAGCUACAGGCUUAACACAUGCAAGUCGCGGGGCAGCAUGUGGUUGCUUGCAACCAAUGAUGGCGACCGGCGCACGGGUGAGUAACGCGUAUCCAACCUGGCCCAUAGUAGGGGAUAGCCCGGCGAAAGUCGGAUUAAUACCCUAUGUUCUUCUUUGAGGACAUCUGAAAUGAAGCAAAGGUUCACCGCUAUGGGAUGGGGAUGCGUCUGAUUAGCUUGCCGGCGGGGUAACGGCCCACCGGGGCAACGAUCAGUAGGGGUUCUGAGAGGAAGGUCCCCCACACUGGUACUGAGACACGGACCAGACUCCUACGGGAGGCAGCAGUGAGGAAUAUUGGUCAACGGGCGAGAGCCUGAACCAGCCAAGUAGCGUGCAGGAUGACUGCCCUAUGGGUUGUAAACUGCUUUUAUAGGGGAAUAAAGUGAGGUAUGCAUACCUUUUUGUAUGUACCCUAUGAAUAAGGACCGGCUAAUUCCGUGCCAGCCGCGGC